CUUCCAGAAGUUUACAUUUAGGUCUGUAAAAAAGCACAACCUGCAGAGCUGUGUGUGUGUGUGUGUGUGCUUGUGUGUGUGUGUGUGUGUGUCUGUGCAUGUGAAACUCAUCAAACUUCUUUAAUAACUCUGAAUAUGACUUGUUUGGGCAUAUUUUCAAUGGAUGGCUAAUUUUGUGCCAGAAUUCAAAUGGAAAUUUAAACCAAAAGAGCUUGCAGAUAAAUAGCAGAGAUUGCUUGCUUUUCACCCCAUUUCUUCUGGUGGUAACUUUUCAAUUGUGAUUUUUUUUUUUUAACCCUCCAUAUUUUUUUUUUGCCAGACUUUGAUUUCUAAAGCUUUAUUUUUAGUCUUUGUAAGGCACAGCAUUGAUUGAGCAUGCUGUGUUCUAAUUUUGGUAGCAAUUUUGUAGGUUAGCUCAGUUUCAUAGAAAUUAGAAAGCUGGGGCUCAUGGAAGUGACUUAUUUUAUCCACGUAGCAGGGGGUGGCAGAGUGGAUGACGCCAGGGUCUGUGCUUCUUCAUCUCAAGGCUGGUGCUGUUUCCUUGGUGGGGCUCCAGGUCAAGUGUGGUCUGCAUUAAGGUCCUCCCUGGUGGAUGCUUGUGAAUGACCUGGGUGUGCACAGAGCAGAGUGGGGCUCCAGAGCCUGUACAUGUUGCUGGGUGUGCAGUAAACACACAGAAAACAGUAUAUGCCCACCCUGCUCGUGAAGAGGGAGUUGCUGAGUCUACACUCUGUGCCAUCUACCAUGCAAUUCACCACAGUAAUUUCGAAUAGCUUCUUGGGUCUUGCAUCAUUUGCGAAAGUGAAGCAAACCUUCCUCUACUGUACAGAGACUGUAAGCACACCAAGGGGAGUUUCUGGACGACUAGAGGACAUCUGAGGAGCACGGCUAAGCCCCAAACCUUCCUUAGGACUACUGUGAACCCCUAUACUUCUGCAGCUACAGUUCCAAAUUUCUGGGCUCCGUCCCAACAAAACGUCUAGAAAAAUUUGCUCUAUUUUCGAUCCUCGUUUUUUUUUUUUUUUUUUUUUUUUUUUCUCAUUUCAGAACAGUGAUGGCUUUUCCAGGUAAAGCAUCUUGUUACCUUAUAAGUUUCAUUAAAUAGAUGGCCUUUGAACUAGACCUUGCAGAAUGGGUAAAAUUUAUUUUGGAAAAGAAGUGAAAGAGGGCUAUCAGAGAGUGUUUUCAUGAAUGUAUAAGCCUGGAAUCUGGAUGUCUUUGAUAAGGAGCGAUAAAAGGGUACAUUUGGGUGUGGAUUAAUUCACUUACUCAGUAUAUACAUAUAUAUAGAAACCACAAUUAGAUACGGGAAAUAUAGCAAAGGAUUAGACCUGGUCCAGCUCUCAUGAUGUUCAGAGACAGUGAUGGUUCCGGGGCAUAGAGACGCAGUGGACAUCAAGAGGUGGGUUCAGAAGAAAGAGUGGGGGAAAAACUGUAAUUGCAAUGUAUACAUGUAAGGAUAACCUGACCCCCUUGCUGUACAGUGGGAAAAUAAAAAAAAAAUAAAUAAAUAAAUAAAUAAAUAA
rnacentral:lncRNA from 1 species